AUGACGGGAGGACUCGAAGCCCGGCCAAGCAAGAAGCGGCGGCAGUCCGGCUCCGGCCUGGCGGAAUUUGUCACGCGAAUCACCAAGCACCUCGCCGACGCGAGCCCUCGCGGCAACAUGGUCUUCUCGCCGCUGUCCAUCUACGCCGCGGUCGCGCUGCUGGCGCCCGGCGCCCGAGGGGAGACCUUGGACGAGAUCCUCCGCCUCCUUGGCGUCCAUUCCCGCGACGAGCUCGAGGAUCUCAUCUCGCGCGUGGCGGCGGACGCGCUCAAGGACCAGUCGCAGUCUGGCGGGCCGAGCGUGGCGUUUGCGUGCGGCGUGUGGAACGACAAGGCGCGGCCGCUCAAGACGGCGUACCGCGAAACCAUCGUCGGCACGUACAAGGCGAAGUCACGCGCCGUCGACUUCCGGGGAAACGCGGGGAAAGCGGCUCGGCGGAUCAACGCCUGGGCCGCGCGGGUCACCGGAAACCUUAUCACCGCCAUCGUUUCACCGAAAUCCUUUGGCCCGGCGACAGACGUCGUGCUCGGCAACGCCAUAUACUUCAAAGGAAAAUGGGACCUGCCGUUCUACCAGAGGAUGACCAAGGACAGGCCGUUCCACAGGCUCGACGGCACCACCGUCGACGCCCCCUUCAUGCGCAACUCCGGCCGUCACUUCAUCGCCGUGUACGACGGGUUCAAGGUCCUCAAGCUGCGGUACGAGAUGCCACGAGCCAAGCCAUUGGGAUGGACGGUUAACUUCAAAAAAACCACCCCGCGGUACUCGAUGUGCAUCUUCCUCCCUGAUGCGUACGACGGCCUCCAGGGCCUUGUCGAGGAGAUAACCUCCCGUCCGACCUUCCUGCACGAGCACCUGCCGACGAGCCAGGUCAGGGUCGGCGAGUUCGGGGUUCCCAAGUUCAAGCUUUCUUUCCAGAGCAGUGUCAUCCAAACUCUCAAACACCUAGGGCUACUGUUGCCGUUCGGCAUGGGUGCUGACUUGUCGGACAUGGUGGAGGACGACGGCUCCGGCUUACCUCUGGUUGUGAAUGACGUUUUUCAUAAGGCUGUCAUUGAGGUAAACGAGCAAGGGACUGAAGCUGCAGCUGACACCACGACGAAAAUAUAUGGAUUAGCGAUGCCGCGGCCGACGCCAACAACGGAUUUCGUCGCCGAUCAUCCCUUCGCGUAUUUCAUAUUCGAAGAGGCGUCAGGUGCAAUCAUCUUCGCAGGGCAUGUCGUCGACCCUAGCAGUGGCGGAGACAGCCAGGUGCGGAUUGGACGACCGAGAAAGGGGUGA
rnacentral:rRNA from 1 species